rnacentral:rRNA from 1 species
GACGAACCACACGAACGUUAUUCGGAAUUACUGGGCUUAAAGGGUGCGUAGGCUGUGCGGAAAGUUGGGUGUGAAAUCCCCCGGCUCAACCGGGGAAUUGCGCUCAAAACUACCGUGCUGGAGGAAGACAGAGGUGAGCGGAACUUCGGGUGGAGCGGUGAAAUGCGUUGAUAUCCGAAGGAACACCGGUGGCGAAAGCGGCUCACUGGGUCUUUUCUGACGCUGAUGCACGAAAGCUAGGGGAGCAAAUGGG